UGGGAUUGUCACUGUCCUGGAAAUGGGUCUUUGAGAGGUCUGUGCAGAACCCCAGAUCACAUCGGCAACCCACGUAGCCUGGGACCUGAUCCCCACUUUAAGAUCUGGCCUUGCCAGGAGCAGCCUCCAGAACUCAGCCUUCACAUGGGAGGAAAAUGGCAUGUCUGUCAUUCUGUCAUUGCUUCCCCACUCAUUGUCCUUGUGGCACAUGACUCUUCUGUUAAACAUGAGGUCCUCUUUCAGGUGCCAAAGUCAGCUUGCAUUCUCAGCUGACCCUGAAAUGGUUCAUAUUGGUAAGAACAUGAAAAGAGCUGACAGGUUGCCUUUAUGUCCCAGGGAGGCCACAAGGUUGGAUCACCUAACAUUAUGUGGACUCUACAGGCUUUUGUGUCUCCAGGAGUGUCCUUGGAGUUUCUGCAAUAGCAAACCCAAACAAACACAGAAUAACUGAAUUCUACACUCUGAUUGACAUCACUCUAAGGACUUUCCAUCUCAUUAAUGAAAUAUUUUGCUUUGUGCUAGGUAUAGUGGUGAUGCCUUAAUCCCAGCCUCUAGGCAGGCUGAGGCAGGAGGAUCAAAAGUGUACAGCCAGCCCCAGCAAAGUCGAGAUGCUAAGCAAUUCAGAGAGACCCUGGCUCUAGAUAAAAUACAAAAUGAGGCUGGGGAUGUGGCUCACUGAUUGAGUGCACCUGAGUUCAAUCUCUGGCAUCCCCAUCUCCCCAAAAAGAAAGGCCAACUGUUUCUUCUGAUUGGCAGAAUCCCAGCCUCUGGGACAGUAGUCAUGUGCUGAUCCUUUGCUAGCAAACAAUUUUUUUUUAAUUUUUUUUCCCUGUAAACACAGCUGUGUCCUCAUUAUUGGAUUGGCAUUGGGAAAGAGGAUGGAGCAUUCAGGAACACCUUAACCUCAUGUGUCCAUGUCUCACGGUUGUUAUCUCUGAAUAAAUUUUAGUUUUGAAACAUUUUGCCUGAUGUUGGGGAGGUAGUACAGGAGAGCUGACAGAUGGUAUCUGUUUUCAUGGUGUAGGACUCACAUCCUCUUAUUUUCAGACUCUUUAUCCAUUUGUAUCCCAGCAGUGACCCCUGCACAUAGCACAGAAUUGGACCUUGUUUUCAUUCUGUCUGCUGAUCUCUACCUUAGGAUAGGAUAGUUCAGUCAAUUGCCAUAUAAUGUCACUGUUGAUGUAGUUGGAUUUAUGUCUGCCCUUUUACGCUCUUUUAUUUUCUUAUGUCUUUUUUUCCCCCUGUGUUCCUCUUCAGGGUGUUAUUUUUUUUAAAUGUGGCCAUUGAGCCCAGUGGUGCUGUAACACUAAGCUACAUGCCCUGCCCCUUUUAAGUUGGGGCGAGAGGGGUUUUUUUUGAGAGGUGAGGCUACGUUUCAGAGGCUGGCCUAGUAUUUUUUACCCUCCUGGUGUUACCGCUGUUGACCGGUGACGAGUUCUUGCUUCCCCAAUGUUGAAGAAUAACACCAAAGAAGCACGCCGAGGCAAGGUCAGAGUAGAAAUUAGAAGUUUAUUAAAGGACAGCAGAAAAGACUUCUCCCGGAGGAAGAAGGGGACCCAAGAGGUGGAAUCCGUGGAAGGGAUGUUGUCUCCCCUUAUUAUAGUUCUUUCAGUGAUGAAAUGUAGGUGGGAAGGCCCAAGGGGUGGGACACAGGUGGGCCAAAGAAGUAAUCUGGUCAGGAAGGACUUCUGAGUCAGCACCUUUUUGCUGGGGGCUGUUCAUUAACAUUUCUUUGAGGGGGACUGUGGCCUAGGGCCUUUUCGGGACUUCAUUAACAUUCCAUGAGUUGUCCUGUGUUUCCCGGAAUCAUUGCCAGCAUGGCCUCCAUUUUAGAUUUCACUUGGCAUUAGACCCGAUUUAUC
rnacentral:lncRNA from 1 species